rnacentral:rRNA from 1 species
ACAGCCCCGUACACAAAAGCGCAUGUGCUGUGAGCUCGAUGAGUAGGGCGGGACACGUGGUAUCCUGUCUGAAUAUGGGGGGACCAUCCUCCAAGGCUAAAUACUCCUGACUGACCGAUAGUGAACCAGUACCGUGAGGGAAAGGCGAAAAGAACCCCGGCGAGGGGAGUGAAAAAGAACCUGAAACCGUGUACGUACAAGCAGUGGGAGCCCCACCACCAAAGCAUUCUCUGGUGUUGAAGGCCCUGCAAAGCAGCAUCGCGGUGGCGGAGCGUCGUUUGCGACGCCCAACACACAAAACAAGCGGUGAGUGCUUUGGGGUGGGGUGACUGCGUACCUUUUGUAUAAUGGGUCAGCGACUUAUAUUCUGUAGCAAGGUUAACCGAAUAGGGGAGCCGGAGGGAAACCGAGUCUUAAUUGGGCGUUAAGUUGCAGGGUAUAGACCCGAAACCCGGUGAUCUAGCCAUGGGCAGGUUGAAGGUUGGGUAACACUAACUGGAGGACCGAACCGACUAAUGUUGAAAAAUUAGCGGAUGACCUGUGGCUGGGGGUGAAAGGCCAAUCAAACCGGGAGAUAGCUGGUUCUCCCCGAAAGCUAUUUAGGUAGCGCCUCGUGAAUUCAUCUCCGGGGGUAGAGCACUGUUUCGGCUAGGGGGCCAUCCCGGCUUACCAACCCGAUGCAAACUGCGAAUACCGGAGAAUGUUAUCACGGGAGACACACGGCGGGUGCUAACGUCCGUCGUGAAGAGGGAAACAACCCAGACCGCCAGCUAAGGUCCCAAAGUCAUGGUUAAGUGGGAAACGAUGUGGGAAGGCCCAGACAGCCAGGAUGUUGGCUUAGAAGCAGCCAUCAUUUAAAGAAAGCGUAAUAGCUCACUGGUCGAGUCGGCCUGCGCGGAAGAUGUAACGGGGCUAAACCAU